rnacentral:rRNA from 1 species
UACAGAGGGUGCGAGCGUUAAUCGGAAUUACUGGGCGUAAAGGGUGCGUAGGUGGUUUUGUAAGUUAGGUGUGAAAGUCCUGGGCUUAACCUGGGGAUUGCGCCUGAUACUGUGAGACUAGAGUAUUGUAGAGGAAAGUGGAAUUUCCGGUGUAGCAGUGAAAUGCGUAGAUAUCGGAAGGAACAUCAGUGGCGAAGGCGACUUUCUGGACAAAUACUGACACUGAGGCACGAAAGCGUGGGGAGCAAACAGG